UGGAGCAUGUGGUUUAAUUCGAAGCAACGCGAAGAACCUUACCUGGCCUUGACAUGCUGAGAACUUUCCAGAGAUGGAUUGGUGCCUUCGGGAACUCAGACACAGGUGCUGCAUGGCUGUCGUCAGCUCGUGUCGUGAGAUGUUGGGUUAAGUCCCGUAACGAGCGCAACCCUUGUCCUUAGUUACCAGCACGUAAUGGUGGGAACUCUAAGGAGACUGCCGGUGUUAAACCGGAGGAAGGCGGGGAUGACGUCAAGUCCUCAUGGCCCUUAUGUCCAGGGCUACACACGUGCUACAAUGGCCGGUACAAAGGGUAGCAAGACCGCGAGGUGGAGCCAACCCCAAAAAGCCGGUCUCAGUUCGGAUUGGAGUCUGCAACUCGACUCCAUGAAGUUGGAAUCGCUAGUAAUCGUGGAUCAGCAUGCCACGGUGAAUACGUUCCCGGGCCUU
rnacentral:rRNA from 1 species